AAGACUAAAAUAGCUUCACCUUUAUUAGUUGUAUCUUAGUUUUAUUUUAUUUAGUUACAGUCAACAUCAUUAAUUCAACGAAUUGAAGAGUCGGCGAAGGCCUUACGGAAUGAGUAAUCAACAUAUUUAUAAGCAAAUAUUUGUUUAUCGGGAGAGCUGCUGAUACGUAUGAUUGAAGUAAAAACAAAAAUGAACUAGUUACAUUAUAUCCGUGAUUUCAUUUGUGUACACAGAGACAAAAUUGAAAAAAAUGUGUUUAACUAUGUUCCUCUGCUAAAACUGAAAGAAUAAGUCUACGUAACUAAAGUUUAUUAAUUAUGGGAAAAUACUAAAAAAAAUGGAAACGCUUAGUACAAUGAUCAAAUUGAAAAAAAAUGGGCCGGUCAUUUCAAAAGAAAUGCAGGCGGACUGAAUUGCGUUUAGUUUGCGGUUUCCUGCACUGUAUUAACCUGUAACGUUUCCGAAUUUCAUUUCAUUUGCAAUCUGGAAUCCGAACGUUUGAGUACUUUAGACACAUCGUGAUGAUAAGUGUAUCUCAACAUCGAUAUAAGAAAGUACCUAUGCAUCUGAAAAAUGGGUUCCUUUAAAAACCAUGAAUGGUUUCUUUAAGAAAUACAAGCACUUUCCCACUUCCUGUACCAUACAGGACUUCAACGAAGCUACCGACAAAAUGAUAAAAAUGGCACAUACUCGUACUGGUGUCACAUCAUAUAAAAAGCCAUUGUAGCGACUCGAAAAGAAGAAGCAUAGCUACUUCCUGGUAGCAUUAUAUUUACUUGGCUUUAAUAAUAUGUUUGGGUUGGGCUGUUAGUCAAGUCGCCCUGGAGUAAAUAGCCUGAUGGAUGUGGCGAUUACAGCGAUGACUUUGCAUCGAAUUUGGAUUAAUAAAUGAAUUUGUAUACGAUGUAUAAAAAUGCCAAGAUCAGAGUAAAACUAAGCUAACGAAUACUAGAAUAGCAUCAAUCACAAGGCAGCAACAAAACACCCAUAAACUCUAAACAGUCUGCGAGAUUACGUCGGUCCCUGUUAUUAUAGCAACGACAUGCAAUUUACCCCGACUCUCUUGCUAAGGAAACUUCGCAUUUAUUCUGGAUGUACUAAAAGAAUCAACGUUACAGAGAAAUUGUUUAUUUUGCAUUUUUAG